CUCGUAUACUACUUGUAGUAUAUCUUUUUGGGUUUUGUUGCUUAUAUAUUUUCUAAUUUUUCAUUAAUUUACGACGUAAAUUCCAAUCAUAUGAAAAAUAAAUUAUCAGGAUCCAUCAGUGUUACUUUAUUUAUUUUAUUAGACAUUGUUGCACAAUAAUGGGAAAUGCUGGAAGUAAUCAAACAGUCAAUCAUACUCAUACUUCAGGUAGAGAUCAUCGACAUAGUAAAGAACAUGGACCACCUUCCCCAGGAAAGGAAGGCCAGGCAUUUGUUUUUGACAAAAAGUCGAAUCAAAAGCUAAUUUUCCAAUCGUCUCAAGAAGAAGAAGAGCCCUAUUAUACAAAAAUAAAACAACGUGAUGGAGAUAAUUUUGGUGGACCACGUCCCAGAUCAAAUACAGUGUCCGAAGGAACUAAAGUUACCGAUAGCAAAGUAUUGCCUACAGUUUUUAAAUGGGAAGGAGGUGGAAAACAAGCAUAUAUCAGUGGAACGUUCACAGGAUGGAAAACAUUACCUAUGGUAAAGAGUCAUGGUGAUUUUGUUACUAUUAUUGACUUACCAGAAGGAGAACAUCAAUAUAAAUUCUAUGUUGAUGGAGAAUGGAGGCAUGAUCCUGGUUUGAAAAUAGUUGACAAUGGUAUGGGUUCUAAGAACAACUUAGUAUCUGUAAGAAAAUCAGACUUUGAAGUUUUUCAAGCUCUUGCUAAAGAUAGCGAAGGUGUUUCUAAUAGUGUUCAAACUGAAUAUGGUCAAGAAAUUCCACUUCAUAAACCAUGGGAAAAAAUAGUUGGACCGCCAAUUUUACCACCACAUUUAUUGCAAGUUAUUCUUAAUAAAGAUACACCAUUAUCUUGUGAACCAACUCUUCUACCAGAACCGAAUCACGUGAUGUUGAAUCAUUUAUAUGCUUUGAGUAUUAAAGAUAGUGUUAUGGUUUUAUCAGCCACACAUCGCUAUCGAAAAAAAUAUGUAACUACUCUAUUAUAUAAACCAAUUUAAUGAUUUACAUCAUUCCUACAUGCGUGAUACUUAAUUAUUUUGGAACGAUAUCAUUAUAUGAAUAAUGAAUUGCACUCACUAUUCAAAUAGCAGAAUUUGUAGGAAAUCCAGUCUUGGAAUUAAUACUUUCUGUAAAAUAAACGUAGGAUCGUCCGUGACUGCAAGCUUCUAAAAUAGGAAAGAUACAAAUGUGUUAUUUUGAAAUCUUUCGAUGCUAGUUUCGUGAGAUAUUUCUUACCCAUGACUUCCGGGACACAGCAACAACCAGGUUGAACGGCUGUUCCUGCAUUUGGAUAAAAAUCGAUUUUACCUAGGGGUUCAAGAUAACCUAGAAUACCACCACAAGAAUGAAUAACAUCAACGAAUAUCGCAUCGGUUAAAUCCAAACGAGUUUUAUUAGAAGCAAGCAUGUGGAAUCCAGGCAAAGCUGGGUCCAAUCCGGUAAUUCUGCCUAAUUUACCAGAAGUUAUUGCAUCACCAGCAUUACCAGCUACAUGCGCACCCAAAGAAUGACCUAAGAUAUGUUUGACAAUGUAGAAAGAUGUACAUUAUAUAACUUUUUCAAUUAUGUAUAAUUUACUUUUGCCUUAAGAUUAACAUAAGAUAUACCGAGGAAAUGAACGUUUUCAGCAGUUAAAUCAGUUUCUGUAACUAAAAAGUCGAUGAAAUUAGCAGCAUCCUUUCCUACACGAACGGUAUUUUGCAUGGGACCAAGAUAAAAGGUACUUGCAGCUAAAGGUUCCCAGUCAACAAGAAUGACAUUGUAAUCAUCGUGUUGCAAGUAAGCUGUACAAUAAUCAAAAUGUAACUUGUUCAAUUACACAUAGACAGAUACAAUUUUAUAAUCAAAUAUUAACUAACCUUCUUUCAUGUUUCUGAGACCAGAACUCAUAGAACUGGACUUCCAUCCAUGUGUUAUGAACUUUGUUUUUCGUGAUGCUUUAAAAUCUGAAUCGAGAAGUCCUGCAGUAUCAUUAAUCAUAAGUCUCGUGCCAUUUUCUGGACCAGACCUUUAAUUAUAUUUCACAAUAUAUAAAGAUCUUAAUAAUUUAUCGUGUACGAUAAAUAAAUAUAUAAGUGUACCUUGUGUAGAG